CCUACGGGAGGCAGCAGUGGGGAAUAUUGGGCAAUGGGCGCAAGCCUGACCCAGCAACGCCGCGUGAAGGAAGAAGGCUUUCGGGUUGUAAACUUCUUUUCUCAGGGACGAAGAAAGUGACGGUACCUGAGGAAUAAGCCACGGCUAACUACGUGCCAGCAGCCGCGGUAAUACGUAGGUGGCAAGCGUUAUCCGGAGUUACUGGGUGUAAAGGGCGUGUAGGCGGGACUGCAAGUCAGAUGUGAAAACCACGGGCUCAACCUGUGGCCUGCAUUUGAAACUGUAGUUCUUGAGUACUGGAGAGGCAGAAGGAAUGCCUGGUGUAGCGGUGAAAUGCGUAGAUAUUAGGAGGAACACCAGUGGCGAAGGCGGAUUGCUGGACAGCAACUGACGCUGAGGCGCGAAAGCGUGGGGAGCAAACAGGAUUAGAUACCCGGGUAGUC
rnacentral:rRNA from 1 species